CUUACACAUGCGAGUCGAGCGGAGAUGAGGUGCUUGCACCUUAUCUUAGCGGCGGACGGGUGAGUAAUGCUUAGGAAUCUGCCUAUUAGUGGGGGACAACAUUCCGAAAGGAAUGCUAAUACCGCAUACGUCCUACGGGAGAAAGCAGGGGAUCUUCGGACCUUGCGCUAAUAGAUGAGCCUAAGUCGGAUUAGCUAGUUGGUUGGGUAAAGGCCUACCAAGGCGACGAUCUGUAGCGGGUCUGAGAGGAUGAUCCGCCACACCGGGACUGAGACACGGCCCAGACUCCUACGGGAGGCAGCAGUGGGGAAUAUUGGACAAUGGGGGGAACCCUGAUCCAGCCAUGCCGCGUGUGUGAAGAAGGCCUUAUGGUUGUAAAGCACUUUAAGCGAGGAGGAGGCUACUGAGACUAAUACUCUUGGAUAGUGGACGUUACUCGCAGAAUAAGCACCGGCUAACUCUGUGCCAGCAGCCGCGGUAAUACAGAGGGUGCGAGCGUUAAUCGGAUUUACUGGGCGUAAAGCGUGCGUAGGCGGCUUUUUAAGUCGGAUGUGAAAUCCCCGAGCUUAACUUGGGAAUUGCAUUCGAUACUGGGAAGCUAGAGUAUGGGAGAGGAUGGUAGAAUUCCAGGUGUAGCGGUGAAAUGCGUAGAGAUCUGGAGGAAUACCGAUGGCGAAGGCAGCCAUCUGGCCUAAUACUGACGCUGAGGUACGAAAGCAUGGGGAGCAAACAGGAUUAGAUACCCUGGUAGUCCAUGCCGUAAACGAUGUCUACUGGCCCGUUGGGGCCUUUGAAGGCUUUAGUGGCGCAGCUAACGCGAUAAGUAGACCGCCUGGCGGAGUACGGUCGCAGGACUAAAACUCCAAUGAAUUGGACGGGGGCCCGC
rnacentral:rRNA from 1 species